rnacentral:rRNA from 1 species
UACAGAGGUCUCAAGCGUUGUUCGGAUUCAUUGGGCGUAAAGGGUGUGUAGGUGGCGCGCUAAGUCGGGUGUGAAAUUUCGGAGCUUAACUCCGAAACUGCAUUCGAUACUGGCGUGCUUGAGGACUGGAGAGGAGACUGGAAUUUACGGUGUAGCAGUGAAAUGCGCAGAUAUCGGGAGGAACACCGGUGGCGAAGGCGGUUCUCUGGGCCUUACCUGACGCUGAGGAGCGAAAGCGUGGGGAGCGAACAGG